GGACAAGCCCUGGAAACGGGGUCUAAUACCGGAUAACACCGGCUCCUGCAUGGGAGCUGGUUGAAAGCUCCGGCGGUGAAGGAUGAGCCCGCGGCCUAUCAGCUUGUUGGUGGGGUAAUGGCCUACCAAGGCGACGACGGGUAGCCGGCCUGAGAGGGCGACCGGCCACACUGGGACUGAGACACGGCCCAGACUCCUACGGGAGGCAGCAGUGGGGAAUAUUGCACAAUGGGCGAAAGCCUGAUGCAGCGACGCCGCGUGAGGGAUGACGGCCUUCGGGUUGUAAACCUCUUUCAGCAGGGAAGAAGCGAAAGUGACGGUACCUGCAGAAGAAGCGCCGGCUAACUACGUGCCAGCAGCCGCGGUAAUACGUAGGGCGCAAGCGUUGUCCGGAAUUAUUGGGCGUAAAGAGCUCGUAGGCGGCUUGUCACGUCGGGUGUGAAAGCCCGGGGCUUAACCCCGGGUCUGCAUCCGAUACGGGCAGGCUAGAGUGUGGUAGGGGAGAUCGGAAUUCCUGGUGUAGCGGUGAAAUGCGCAGAUAUCAGGAGGAACACCGGUGGCGAAGGCGGAUCUCUGGGCCAUUACUGACGCUGAGGAGCGAAAGCGUGGGGAGCGAACAGGAUUAGAUACCCUGGUAGUCCACGCCGUAAACGUUGGGAACUAGGUGUUGGCGACAUUCCACGUCGUCGGUGCCGCAGCUAACGCAUUAAGUUCCCCGC
rnacentral:rRNA from 1 species